GUUCCAACAUGGCGGAGCUGACGGUGGAGGUUCGCGGCUCCAACGGGGCUUUCUACAAGGGAUUUAUCAAAGAUGUUCAUGAAGACUCCCUUACAGUUGUUUUUGAAAAUAAUUGGCAACCAGAACGCCAAGUUCCAUUUAAUGAAGUUAGAUUACCACCACCACCUGAUAUAAAAAAAGAAAUUAGUGAAGGAGAUGAAGUAGAGGUAUAUUCAAGAGCAAAUGACCAAGAGCCAUGUGGGUGGUGGUUGGCUAAAGUUCGGAUGAUGAAAGGAGAAUUUUAUGUCAUUGAAUAUGCUGCUUGUGAUGCUACUUACAAUGAAAUAGUCACAUUUGAACGACUUCGGCCUGUCAAUCAAAAUAAAACUGUCAAAAAAAAUACCUUCUUUAAAUGCACAGUGGAUGUUCCUGAGGAUUUGAGAGAGGCGUGUGCUAAUGAAAAUGCACAUAAAGAUUUUAAGAAAGCAGUAGGAGCAUGCAGAAUUUUUUACCAUCCAGAAACAACACAGCUAAUGAUACUGUCUGCCAGUGAAGCAACUGUGAAGAGAGUAAACAUCUUAAGUGACAUGCAUUUGCGAAGUAUUCGUACGAAAUUGAUGCUUAUGUCCAGAAAUGAAGAGGCCACUAAGCAUUUAGAAUGCACAAAACAACUUGCAGCAGCUUUUCAUGAGGAAUUUGUUGUGAGAGAAGAUUUAAUGGGCCUGGCAAUAGGAACACAUGGUAGUAACAUCCAGCAAGCUAGGAAGGUUCCUGGAGUUACCGCCAUUGAGCUAGAUGAAGAUACUGGAACAUUUAGAAUCUACGGAGAGAGUGCUGAUGCUGUAAAAAAGGCUAGAGGUUUCUUGGAAUUUGUGGAGGAUUUUAUUCAGGUUCCUAGGAAUCUCGUUGGAAAAGUAAUUGGAAAAAAUGGCAAAGUUAUUCAAGAAAUAGUGGACAAAUCUGGUGUGGUUCGAGUGAGAAUUGAAGGGGACAAUGAAAAUAAAUUACCCAGAGAAGACGGUAUGGUUCCAUUUGUAUUUGUUGGCACUAAAGAAAGCAUUGGAAAUGUGCAAGUUCUUCUAGAGUAUCAUAUUGCUUAUCUAAAGGAAGUAGAACAGCUAAGAAUGGAACGCCUACAGAUUGAUGAACAGCUGCGACAGAUUGGUAUGGGUUUCAGACCUUCUUCCACCAGAGGGCCUGAAAAAGAGAAAGGAUAUGCCACUGAUGAAAGUACCGUCUCUUCUGUACAAGGUUCUAGGUCUUAUAGUGGAAGAGGCAGAGGUCGUCGGGGACCUAAUUACACCUCCGGUUAUGGUACAAAUUCUGAGCUGUCUAACCCCUCUGAAACGGAAUCUGAGCGUAAAGACGAGCUGAGUGAUUGGUCAUUGGCAGGAGAAGAUGAUCGAGACAGCCGACAUCAGCGUGACAGCAGGAGACGCCCAGGAGGAAGAGGCAGAAGUGUUUCAGGGGGUCGAGGUCGUGGUGGACCACGUGGUGGCAAAUCCUCCAUCAGUUCUGUGCUCAAAGAUCCAGACAGCAAUCCAUACAGCUUACUUGAUAAUACAGAAUCAGAUCAGACUGCAGACACUGAUGCCAGCGAAUCUCAUCACAGUACUAACCGUCGUAGGCGGUCUCGUAGACGAAGGACUGAUGAAGAUGCUGUUCUGAUGGAUGGAAUGACUGAAUCUGAUACAGCUUCAGUUAAUGAAAAUGGGCUAGGCAAAAGAUGUGAUUGAAGAGCAUGGUCCUUCAGAAAAGGCAAUAAACGGCCCAACUAGUGCUUCUGGCGAUGACAUUUCUAAGCUACAGCGUACUCCAGGAGAAGAAAAGAUUAAUACCUUAAAAGAAGAAAACACUCAAGAAGCAGCAGUCCUGAAUGGUGUUUCAUAAACUGAAGAAGUUCCUAGUUUACAGUUCUUUUACAUUACAUUUACAAUAGUGCUUGUACAAGCUUGCCAAAGAUAGAAUAUGGAUCGCCAGUCUUUACAUCGCACUUUCAGUUCCUCCAUUUGGAAUUCAAAAAGGGGAGGGAUCCUGAAGAAAUCAUAUGUUAAACAUACUUUGACACCUACUGUGUUAUAAAAUAUAUCAUCAGAUGUGCCUUGAGAAUAGUAUAUGUAACAUUAAAAAAAAGUUGCUGGCUAUAGGAAA
rnacentral:sRNA from 1 species